rnacentral:rRNA from 1 species
GUUGAACGCUGGCGGCAUGCUUUACACAUGCAAGUCGAACGGUAACAGGCCUUCGGGCGCUGACGAGUGGCGAACGGGUGAGUAAUGCAUCGGAACGUGCCCAGUCGUGGGGGAUAACGCAGCGAAAGCUGUGCUAAUACCGCAUACGAUCUGCGGAUGAAAGCGGGGGACCUUCGGGCCUCGCGCGAUUGGAGCGGCCGAUGUCAGAUUAGGUAGUUGGUGGGGUAAAGGCUCACCAAGCCAACGAUCUGUAGCUGGUCUGAGAGGACGACCAGCCACACUGGGACUGGGCGACGGCCCAGACUCCUACGGGAGGCAGCAGUGGGGAAUUUUGGACAAUGGGCGCAAGCCUGAUCCAGCAAUGCCGCGUGCAGGAAGAAGGCCUUCGGGUUGUAAACUGCUUUUGUACGGAGUGAAAAGGCUCCCUCUAAUACAGGGGGCUCAUGACGGUACCGUAAGAAUAAGCACCGGCUAACUACGUGCCAGCCGCCGCAGUAACAC